rnacentral:rRNA from 1 species
UACCGAGGGUGCGAGCGUUGUUCGGAAUUAUUGGGCGUAAAGGGCGCGUAGGCGGGCGGUCAAGUCAGAGGUGAAAUCCCACGGCUCAACCGUGGAAGUGCCCCUGAUACUGGCCAUCUGGAGGGAGGUAGGGGCGUGCGGAACUUCCGGUGGAGCGGUGAAAUGCGUAGAUAUCGGAAGGAACACCGGUGGCGAAAGCGGCGCGCUGGACCUCUACUGACGCUGAGGCGCGAAAGCCAGGGGAGCAAACGGG